AUUGAACGCUGGCGGCAUGCCUUACACAUGCAAGUCGAACGGCAGCACGGGAGCAAUCCUGGUGGCGAGUGGCGAACGGGUGAGUAAUAUAUCGGAACGUGCCCAGUCGUGGGGGAUAACGUAGCGAAAGCUACGCUAAUACCGCAUACGAUCUACGGAUGAAAGCGGGGGAUCGCAAGACCUCGCGCGAUUGGAGCGGCCGAUAUCAGAUUAGGUAGUUGGUGAGGUAAAGGCUCACCAAGCCGACGAUCUGUAGCUGGUCUGAGAGGACGACCAGCCACACUGGGACUGAGACACGGCCCAGACUCCUACGGAGGCAGCAGUGGGGAAUAUUGGACAAUGGGCGAAAGCCUGAUCCAGCAAUGCCGCGUGAGUGAUGAAGGCCUCGG
rnacentral:rRNA from 1 species